rnacentral:lncRNA from 1 species
UCCCAUAUAUCCACUGUAGUAUUAGUCUGUCUAUAGUCUUAACCUCUCCAAACAGCGUUGUAAAAAUAAAGAUUUGACGAUAUUUGAAGUUUUGCUGUGGACCCCUUGUCAUCGUUUAUGUGGAGCAAUGAACGUUGGAUUUUCUUGUGCCAUGCUUUAGGUAAGUUUAAACGAUUCAUAUAAUAGUCACAUAGCUUAUUAAUUUUACUACCUAACUCUUGCUCAUCAAUUUUCUCAUCAUUUUCAAAUACCAGGGAGACGUAGGAAUGUUACAAAAACUGAGGAGGGUUGUUUAUUAACAUUAUGAACUGUUAUAAUAUUAUCACAUAAGACUAGAUUCUCCAGGAAACGCAGUCACUCUAAAAACACACACUAAAAAAUAAAAAUAUGUACGCAUUUGUAAAA